CGGCCGACCGACACGCAUCGCUCCGGUCGGCCGGUCUUAGAUUUUUUUGUUAAAUUAAUAAUUUUCUAGAAAUUCUAUCGCGAGAGUGUGUUAACUAAAUAAGUGCUGCAACCAACGAGCCACACGAUGCCGAAAUCAAUUGGACGAUUAAUCAUUAUUUUUUUGUUCAACGCAUCGUUGCCGAGAUUCGAGUUCAAGGAAGUCUAUCAGUGUCUCCACAGUGACGAUAAAGAUUUGUACUCAGAAAGUCUUUAAAAUGUGCACAGUGCUUUUCAUCAUCAAAGAUGUCCAAGCAGAAAAAGGCAAUCAAUGUCGUCAAAAUAAUCAUCAUUUUACACCGUUGCCCAUUUACAUGAUCUAGUGCGAGACUACGAGAGCGGGUCGUCGUUGAACUUCGAUUCAAAUGCCUUCGCUGGUAGAAAAUUCAAACUCUUGAAGAUUUUUUCUCGCCCAACUACAACUGUGUUACUCUAGGACCAACUGCUCGACGAUGACAUGACCUUUGUCAAAAUUCUUCUUAGAGAGAAUUUUCAUGAUUUAAGUUGCAACCACGUCAGAUGUAUCUUAGACGUCUUCAUAUUUAAAGAAAUUUUUCAUGGGCUAUUUUUAUGUAGCCGUACAAUAUCAUCAAUGUGCAGUAUACUAAAAAAUCGUUACUGGAAGUUACUAGAUGCCAAAGUGACACGAUUAGAAAAUUGGCUUAGUUUAUUUAAAUAGGGAAAUAAGAGGAUUACUUCACUAUGAGUGAACUGCAUGAAGAAAUUCGAACAACUUCAUACUUGGACUUUUAGUGAAAAACUAAAUUCGACCCGACAGAGCUUUGCCUAUUCAGUGUGGAUUUCAAACUGAACUCCCGAGGCCUGGUGCCUAAGGCAUAACGCCAUCGAAAAUUCAUCGAAAAUCACAACACAACAUUAUGAAGUGCUUCUACACUCGCUGAAGGACCAAACUGCCACAUAAAGUUAGUGAUUGUCAGAUUAUGAUCUGCUGCUUGGAAUUUCACUAUCGUCCUACGGCGCUCCACAUCGCCAUAAGACAAUAAGACGUAACAGAUUAAGCUGGAUUCUG